GUCAUUUUUAUGAUGACUUUGUGCGUCGUAAGACAACAAAAAUAUUGCUAUGCAAGUGAUUUUCGUCGGGAUCUAGCAUAAGGGCACCAAGCAAGAGAACCUGUUAUUUUCCCCAUGUUUGUACGCUCGAGGACCCAUUUGCACUUCUACCCAUUUCACCAACAGACUCCGGCUACUUUCAUAUCAUGCAAGCGCCACCGUUCCCAGUGUUCUCUCACGGCGCCAACUCCUUCGUCCUUACAACCGCCCCAUUUUCCGAGUCCCAAACAAUCAGCCUUCUCUCGCGGCAACCCUAGUGGUCACACGGCCUUCUCUCCACUUGAAAUCUCCAUAAUCGGUACCCUCCGUUUCCAGCUUCCCUUACAAAUUGAAGCUCCAUCCCUCCAUUUCGAAAAAUUUCUAAGAUUUUGGGCAGAAUAGUAUGGUAAACCGAGGCUCCAGGUUCAUCAAUCAUGAUCAAUCCUUACCUUAUUUUAUGAUAGCAUGAUUCUGCUGUCAGUACUAUGAUGGAUAAGAGUUGGAUGAACUUGCCUGAUAGACGUCAAGCACCUGCAUAUGCCGAAGGGGUUAACCACUUCCUCACACUAGCACGAAGCCAUGCUAUGGGAAGUGAUCGAAUCCGGUGUCCUUGUUAGCUAUGCUGUAAUAAUUUAUUCUUGCCUUUCAGAGAGGUGGAGUCUCACCUAUUCAUUAAAGGGUUCAAUCCUACUUACACCCAAUGGAUAUUUCAUGGGGAGGGGGAAACUUGCCCUUUGAUUGAUGUCGAUUUCGAUCUCGAUCUCAGUGAUGAGGAUGAAUACAUCGAUGACAUGGACCAUAUGUUAGAUGACAUAUCGGCAGGGACAUUCCAUAAUGUCCCUCAAGGUAGCCAAGGCGACACUAUUCUGAUGCCUUCAUGCCCCUCCGUACUAUAAACUUCAUGUAAACCUUCUUUUGAUCAGCUACUAGAGGAUGCCCGACGUCCACUUUUUACGGGGUGUACAAAAUUUAGUAAACUCUCAUUCGUUGUCAAGAUGCUACACAUUAAAACCCUUGAUGGUUGGUCAAUUAAGUCAUUUGAUAUGUUGCUUAACUUGUUGCAGGCUGCCUUUCCUGAUGCUACAUGCCCAUCGUCAUAUGAAAAGGUACGGUCAUUGGAGAGAGGGUUGGGGUUCAAGUACCACAAAAUUCUUGCAUAGCCAAACGACUGUAUAUUAUUCUGGAAGGAAAAUGCUGAUAAGAAUGAAUGUCCUGUUUGUAAGGCUUCAAGGUGGAUGUCAAAUACACAUGGGACACAAGUUAUACCUCAAAAGGUGUUGCAUUAUUUCCUGUUGGUGCCAAGAUUGCAACGGUUAUAUAUGUCUACAAAGAUAUCCACUGAUAUGCGAUGGCAUACAGACCAAUGAGCCACAACUGAUACCAUUAGGAGGCAUCCUGCGGACUUUGAGUCUUGGAAGACAUUUGAUAAAGACAAUAGUUGGUUUGCUGGUGACGCUCACAAUGUUAGGCUCGGUUUGGCUAGUGACGGUUUCAAUCCCUUCAACAAUUUAGCAAAACCUUAUGGCAUUUGGCCAGUUAUCCUCGUGCCGUAUAACUUGCCUCCUUGGUCAUGCAUGAAAGACCAAUUCUUCAUGACAUCCUUAAUUAUUCAUGGUCCUAAAUCACCAGGAAAUGACAUUGAUGUUUACUUGUAGCCAUUGGCUGAUGAAUUGGUUGAACUUUGGGAGCAUGGGGUCAUAUGAUGCCUCCACUAAGAAAAUGUUUACGUUGCAUGCUGCCUUGAUGUGGACAAUCAAAGAUUUUCCUGCCUACGGUAAUCUCACUAGCUAGUCAACUAAAGGAAAAUUGGCAUGUCCUUUUUGUAAUGCCAGUAUAGAGUCAAAAUGGUUGAAGUUUGGGAGGAAACAGUGUUAUAUGGGACAUCGUCAAUUCUUACCGCCAGACCACAUAUGGAGAUCGAGGAAAGGGUUGUUCAAUAGUAAAGAAGAUCACCGUAUUCCACCAAGGGUGUUAUCUGGAUCAGACAUUGUCACAUCAACUAUAUAUGCUUGGGGAUGUGCAAUUUGGUAAAUCCUGAAGGAAGAGAAAACGCACUUAGAAAGAGUUGAAUUGGACAAAGAAUAGCAUAUUCUUCAAGUUGCCUUAUUGGUAAACCCUUUUGAUUCGGCAUAAUUUGGAUGUUAUGCAUAUUGAAAAGAACAUUUGUGAUAACAUCUUUGGUACUUUAAUGAACAUUCCUGGCAAAACCAAAGAUAACAUCAAUGCAUGACAUGACCUGGAGCUUUUGGGUAUGCGGAAGGAAUUAUAUUUGAGGCGUGCAGGUGAACAGUUUACACUGCCACCUGCAAUGUACAAAUUACACGAAGAAGAAAUGAAUAAAUUUUGUGAAUGGUUGGCAGAGGUUAAGUUCCCUGAUGGGUUUGCUUCCAAUAUUGCCCAUUGUGUUUCCAUACGUGAUUGCAAAAUAUCAGGGUUUAAAAGCCAUAAUUGUCAUGUUUUCUUGCAACGCCUACUUCCUAUUGCAGUUGGGGGUUCUUAUGAUCUGAAAUUGCCUUGGCAUUGAUAGAACUCAGCAGUUUCUUCAAAAAGUUGUGUUCACGAACAGUUGAUAUGACUCACAUUUCCCAGCUUCAAAGUGAUAUUGUCAUCAUCCUAUGUAAAUUGGAGAUGAUAUUCCCUCCAUCUUUUUUUGAUGUCGUGGUCCACCUAGCUAUUCAUUUACCCCGUGAGGUGAUACUUGGGGGUCCAGUACAAUAUAGAUGGAUGUAUCCAUUUGAGAGAUAUCUCAGCAAAUUCAAGUUGUAGGUCAAGAAUAAAGCACGACGAGAAGGUUCAAUAGCAGAAGCAUAUAUUCAUAUCAAAUGCUUGGAAUUUUGCUCAAUGUACCUCCAAGAUGUUGAGACGAAGUUCAAUCGAGUUGAUCACAACAUUGAUGGCAGAGGAGAGGACACCACAAAUGGUUUCUCAAUUUUCAAUCAACAUGUUCGUCCCUUGGGUAUAGCAUCUAAUGUGAAAUUAGAUGAUAAACUCCUUAUCUCAACUCGAUGGUACAUUCUUAACAACUAUGUAGAGAUUCAACCCUACAUAGAGUAUGCAUCCUUGAUAUAUUAUAAACAUUUACUUAUGUUUUCCAAUCAGACUGUACCUAUUAUGUGUUACGUCCCCAUGGUUUUUACAUACAUGGCCUUGGCUUUUGUGUGCAGUGAGCACUACGAGAAGUGUAAGUUGCAUACACCAAAUUCAAUUGAUCGCAUGCACAAAAAUGAGUUUCCAACUUGGUUCAAGAAAUGUGUAAGUCCAAAAUCUCAGUCUACUUAGAUAAUUCCCCCACUAAUACCGAACUCCUAACACGUUGAGGCGGUGCACCUUAUUCUAGCAGGUUCAAGACCAACAUAUAGUCAACCCGCAAGAUGUUUCCGUAGAUCUAUAUGCAUUAGCUUGCGGUCCUGACAGUUGGGUUGCAACAUAUUCUGCUUGCAUUAUAAAUGGGAAAAGGUUCCAUUCAAAACAACGUGAACCAUGGCGACAGACACAAAAUUCUGGUGUUGUUGUAAUGGGUGAAAAUUUGACUAAUAAUCUAGACUUCUAUGGUGUUAUAAAUGAAAUCUUGGAGUUAUGCUAUAUGGGAGGGCGUCAUGUUUACUUGUUCAGUUGUGAUUGGUUUGAUUUCAGUGAUCAAAGACGAGAGGUCCGAGUGGACAUCCAUAUGACUAGUGUCAACAUGUCACGCACUUCGUAUAAGGACGAGCCAUUUGUGUUGGCAUGCCAAGCUUCCCAAUGUUAUUAUGUAAAAGAUUUACGGUUCAAAGGGAAUUGGUAUGUUGUUCAGAAGUUCACAAAUAGAAAUGUUUACGACAUUCCACCAAGACCGAGGGCAUUAGAUGAUAUUGAUGUCAAAUUAAGUGACGAUGAUGCCUAUCAAGAAGAUGUUCCAUCAUAUGAGUAUGCUCCUAUGCAUUGUGAUGAUGAUCCAGUCUCAACUCCACUAAGUAGGACUAAUAUAGAACCUAUAAGUAUUGAUGCACAAGAAGGUAUGCAUCUGGGGCGUCACGAUGAGAAUAGCACGGAUUUCAUCAAUGGUAAGGUGGUUGCUUACGGUUCAGAAGAUGGUUAUGGCAAUGACAAGGAAUAUUUCUCCACAGAUGAAGAUUCAAUGUCGAAUUAGACCACCUAAAUGUGCUUUGGAUAAAAGGGUGCUUUAAGUGGUACUUGGGGUCCCGAGAGUAGUGAUAAAAUGACUUAAGCUGUAACACGACAGCGUGCUGUUGUAGCUAAAUGUUAGCUGGUCGAAGUUGACAAUAAUAUCUAUGCUAUAGUGCAUGUGAUGUACUAUAUUAAACUAACCAUGUGCAACUUGAAUGAGCUGCGUCUGAACAGUAACAAUACAGCUCACUACAUCCAUAAUUACCACAAAAUUUGGGCAUGCAUGAAGUUAUAAGUAGAGAGAAAAUGUGGACAGUGUGUAGAGACCAUUAGUAAUGUGGAGAUGCGGUAGGAGCAUGGACAAAAUGCAAUCAUCAGCCCGGCCCCCUUAUAACUUAAUGUUUGGUGUAUUAAUAUUCUACCAAAUGCAGUCCAUAUAGACAACAAGCACAAUCUAAAUUGAACAUAUCAAUGAUACUUCUAGUACCAUACACGUAACUGAACUGCAUGAGUAUUUUGCAUGAGAUUUGCAUUCCAAUUGAGUUAUACCAACAAGGUUGGCCUGGGUAAUCAACCUGUAUUGGAAGAAUCACUAGAUAAAUUAAUCAUAAAUGAAAUCCUAUUUUAAUGCAUGGUAUGGCUAUUGUGGAACUACUAGAGAUUUUUAGCUCCAUAUAAGGACCAGAAUCGAGUUGAUAGAAAGGGUGAACACUUGAGCAACCACCAUAGUGACAAAAUGCAUGUUAUAAUUAUCCAGUUGAUUAGGCAUUGCACUUUCCAAUUGGCAGAGACACUAGACAAUUGAAAAAAGGGUAAAUUAUUAGAUAUAAUUACUAUAUUGGAUGCAAGGGGAGAAAAGCAUAGAGGCAAAAUAUUGGACUCAUUUAUGCCAAUAUAAGUGAGUUUUUAAAUAAUUACUAAAUGUGCUUCCACUGACGAAAGUGGGGAUAAGGAAACAACUGUUUCUCAAAAUGUAACAUGCUGAACAUGACCCCUAGAUAAACAAGCUGCACUUAAGGUUAUGUUUAAUUGAUAUUUCCAAAUUGCAAGCUUUCUUCCCAGUAUUAGAUAUGCAUGAUAUAUCAUGGUAUCAGUUGUGGGCAGUAUUAUAAAACUGUAAAUAGGUAUUCUGAUCAAUCUAUGAAUUAAUUAAUGCAACUACAAAUUAUACAUGAUGUAUUAUAACACUGUAGAGCAGGAUCAAGAGCUGUUUCUACUUAAAAGAUAGAUUUACUUAAAAUCUUAUUUUAAGUUAACUGGUAACUUAAAAAGCUAGUGAAACUUAAUUAAAACCUGAUGUGCAAACGUACAGUUCAUUAUCAGUGGGGUGGGGGGAAAGUUUUGGCGCUGAUUUUAGUGGGCGGGAGUUUAGAUACUGAAAGUUGGAAUUACAGGGGUAAAUUUUGAAGUUACCACAUUUAAACUAUUGCAUAUCAGCUGAUCAAGUAUACGGUUGGUGCUCAGUACAUAUAAACAAAGUUGAAGUUCUUGCCACUCUGGUUUUGCACAUGAAUUUAGCAACUGCUCUUGCCUUCCCUGUUUCUAAGGAAAGUUUGGACCUUUUUGCAGCAAAACUCCCAACAGCCACUUGGUAAGAGGACACAGAUUUCUGCUUUGAAGUUAAAAGGUUCAAGGUAAGUGAGGAAGGUAUUUCUUGAAAUUGUUUAUUCAUUAACGCUAUUAUUGAAGACACAAAGGUUGGUUGGUGCUCCUAGACUUGUCUCUAUCCAAUUAUUUUCUUCUAAACAGUUUUUAACUUUUUUCAGAAUUUUAUUACUGGUUUCCCGUUGGCUUUCUUCUUUUUCUUGUUUUUUGAGAUUCAUGCUGAGAUUCAUGCUGAGAUUUUCUAAUGGGUGGGAAAUAGGAGAUUGCAACGUUUGUAGUGAUUUGUGUUAGGUGGGGUGUAUUCGGGAAGAAUAUAUCAUGUGGAAAUAAUAUAGGCUACAGAAUUCUGUGGGAUAAGGAAAUAGAGAGUUCUCCAUUACAUGGAGAGUGAAAUGCUUGAGUACAGAGUCCAAAAAAGAAAAAAAAUGACAAAAUGUUUGACUUAACCAAACCUGUUACAUUCCAGGUUAGGCUGGUUUUCAAGACUACAAUGCACUCCAUUUAACAACACUUUUGUUCCUCUUCUUACCCUUUGUGCUAAGAUAAAAGGCCAGCCUUUGAACUCCAUAUGAAAAACCUUUUUUUGCAAUUUUCAUAGUCAAGUAUGCUUACUAGUGAAUUGAAAUCCUGAUAAUUAUGGUAUUAUAAUAUCUAUGCCUUAUCCUUGGGUGAAUUGAUGACUGACUCAUAUUAGGCAGGUCAAACUAUUCCCAGUAACUAGCCAUUUAGUCAUAGAAGGCAUCAAAUUCUCUAUCCAUUGGAUUACCAACCUCGUAAGGUGGGGUGUUACCAACAGCAACCUUAGCGCAGGUAAAAAACUGUAAGAGGUAAACUACUUUCCUUAUGUUAGGUUGAGAUUAUUCAACUGCAUGGUAAGUGAGGAAGUGCAGAUGUAGGACCAUAUAUUGCAUGCCUAACUUCAAACUUUUAAAUAACAUGCUGUAAAUUAAUAUAGAGGGAAGCUGUUAAGACAUUUAGUUUUUUGAUAAUAGUCACUUAUUUUGCUGCAUUGGUUAAGGAAAAUUACGGAAUACAUGGUGUAACAUUAAAGGUUGUUGGUGAUCAAAUUGAGUUGUCUUAGCUAAUUAUAUUAAGACAGGGAAACAAUGGUUAGGACAAGUUUCCAAUUUUCUUUGAAGCUAAAGCUGAAUUGAUAUUGCUCUACUAUUAUUUGCAUAAGUUGAUAUUAAGCUGCAUGGUGUUGGUUUGGCAGUGUUUUACUCCCAAUAAAAUAGAUGACAUAUUUAUUUUUGACAUUGCCCAACAUCUAGGUGGAAGGAUAUUCAAGGGGUGAACUCAAAAUGGAUAGUGCUACAUGUUCUGUGCAGAGCAAUUUACGAAACAUGAGUAGCAAAGUUAGACAGAUAGUGCAAUAUUCAAGUUUUGGUGAUUGCUUUUCUUCCCACUUAAUAUAAAUAUAGACUUGCAUGCAGUUCUUUUGUACUCUGUCAUAUUACAGAAAAGUACACUUUCUGUAUGAGGGAGAAUGUUUGAUAGAAUUUGCACAGUAUUAAUUUUCAGUCAUUGCUUUCUAUUUUCAUACAUGAAUUGACUCAGUCAUCAGAAGGGUCCUAAUGUAAUACAACCCUUUAGACUGUAAUUAAUUUACUGAUUUGGUUGUCACCUAAUAUGAAGAUAAAGUUGGAUAACUAGAUAUAACAAAGUGGGAGAGGAAGGGAUAGAGGAGUUCGACAAUUUAAAAGACGACGUGCACCUUAUUCAAGAGGCCGACUACGGCCUCCACUUAUUUGCCGAUGGAGUCAGCCAGAGGGUCAAGGCGAGAGCUUUGACGAGUCAACACAGCCACCCUCCGUAGAAAGAAUUCAUGUCAACGCCAAUCCAAUACCAACAGCAAACACUAUUAGAGACAAUAUUUCACGAUGGAGUCAGAGAGAGGGUCAACACGAAAGAUCUGAUGAGUCAACACAACCACCCUCCGUAGAAAGAAAUACUCUCAACGCCGAUCCAAUACCGACAGUGGACACUAAUAGAGACACUAUUUGGCGAUGGAGUCAGUGAGAGGGUCAACGCGAUAGCUAUGAUGAGUCAACACAACCACCCUCCGUAUUUAGAAAUACUGUCAACGCCAAUCCAAUACCAACAGCGGACACUAAUAGAGACCCUAUUUGGCGUUGGGUAAUGCGAGAGGUUAAUGGGAAAAUGCAUGAUGAGUCAACACAGCCACCCUUCAUAGAAAGAUAUUCUGUUUACGCCAAUCCAAUACCGACAGCAGACACUAAUAGAGACAAUAUUUGGCGAUGGAGUCAGCGAGAGGGUCAAGGUGAGAGCUUUGAUGCAUCAACACAGCCACCGAUCAUUGAAAUAAAUACUCCCAUAACCAAUCCGAUACCGGAAGCCAUUUCUACUAGAGACAAUAUUGGUAAGUAGCUUGUUGUGUUAUUCAUGUACCUGAAGAUUCCUUUGACCUACAAUAUAUCUUUAUUGAUAUGUUUUAGUAAUUUUAGUUUGUUCUAAGUAAAUAAUUGCUUACUAAUUUUCCCAUCUUAAUGCCAUAGAGGAUGAAGCAACAGCUCCCCUAACAAACGUUGGAUAGCAGAAACGUGGACGUGGGCCCUCUAAGUGUACUGAGUUUGAUAAAUUGAGGCACGAGAAAGUACCUUUGAAAAUAAAUGAUGGGGAAACAACACCUUGCUGUGAGAAUGCCUCAUUCUUUACAACACGAGUAACGUGGAUUUUAAAACAUCAUGCAGACAUGAGCUUUGCAAGAUGGAUGGACAUACCCAAGUCUGUUAAGGAUGAGUUGAUUGACAGGGUCAUUUUAAGACAAUAUACACAACUGUAAUGCAAUUGUAAGGAAUUCCACUUAAAAAUGGGUUUGAUGACCAUAGUUUUUUUUAUAUGUAUAGGGUGACUUUGAAUUAGAUUGGGAAUUGAAGAACCAUCGGUUGGCAAUUUGGAAGCAACUGUGUAAGAGAUUUAAUGCCUUCCACCAUGAGCUUCACAAGAAGUAUUUGGCAUAUGCGAGCCAUUAGGAGGCAUUGGCUGGUGGGAUAAGCUUGGUCGAGCCCUUGGUAUGGGUUAAGCUAUGUGGCCGAUGGGGAAGUGACCACUUCAAGUGAACCAAAGGAGCAAACUUAGUGGACUUCUACAAAGCAGUCCGUUGGUCAAAGAAGAAUGAUAGAUUUGUCACAGAUGCCAUUGAAGAUAUUUAUAAGGAGAUGACUGGAAAGAUGGAUGACUUAGCCCCUGAGAAUCGCACUGAUGAGGCAGCUAAGGCUGUCUUUAGGGAGGUACUUGGGCAUAGGCCAAGAUAUGAACAAGGCCUCGGAGAGAUGGUGAUACCAGAGUCUACAAGAGAAAAGGACGUGUUACAAGCUAAAGAGUAUGCAAUGUUAGUGGAAAGACAUAAGAAAGAUGCGGAGGACUACAAGAGUCAACUAGACCGUGUGAGGGAAGAAAUGUGAGUGGUUGUGGAGAGUCAAAUUGAAAGUGACGCUCUGUUGAGGAGUUUCAUGGCUUCAUUUCAGUCGCGCAAGGGAGACUCUCUUCGGGGGAGGCAGUGACCCCCGAGCUGCAUGCAAAUAUAUUUAGCAAUUUUUUGACUUAUUUUGGGUGCCUUUUUCAUGGGUUUUUAUAGUGCAUGCCUACUAGGAAAGGAGGAGAGAGUGGCUGGGGGAAAACAUAUAAAUAUAUACAUAUAUAAAUAUGUAGCAAUUUGUUGUCUAUCUAUGCCUUGUGUACAGGGUACAAACUGGUCCUUUUUUGUGGAAGCCAAAAGGGUAGGUGUGGGACGGUUGGGGGAGGAGCAAUUUAUCUAGUUGGCCAUAUAUUUCUUGGUUCUUAAAACAGAGUAGCUUGUUUUAAGCUAGUAAGUUAGCAUAUUAGGGGAGAAGUACAAUGGGUUACAUAUUUGAAGCAGAAUUAGAAAACAUACAAUAUGUAAGUAUGAGAUUUUAAUCAGGAACUCAUGAAUUUACUUGCUCACACGGCUCAAUUAUUAGAACUAAACUGACAGGAUUUUUGCUAUCUAGGUACAACCAAGACUGAAGUGAUGGAAUUGGUUGCCUUUGGGCAAUCGCAACUUGACGCCUUGGGGGACAAUAUGUCGAGCAAUAUCACAAAACGAAAUGUUCAAGUGUAUUGAAAAUGUUUGGAGAUGUCUGGUAAGCAGUUACAUUUCCUUGACAAGGUUAGAAAAAUGGUAAAAUUUAAUGUGUUGUGGGAUGACUGUGUUGUAGUAAUGCUUAUAAGCCAUUAGUUGGUUUGUUGAUUCAUGCUUUUGAAAUGGCUGCUUUUGAAAAAACCGGUGCUGAAUUUUGCUUUGCAUUGUAGUUUAAAAAAAAGUUGAAAAUGCCAAAGAGAUAUAAGUUACAAAACUUAGUCAUAACCAUGCCUUUCCCAUUUAUCAAUCCUUAGCAUGAAUAUAUGCAAUAAAGUCAAGAGUGCCAAGACUGAUGCAUGUUGGCUUCUACAAACAUGGGGCAGCACUUGAAAUUAGGACAAAUUUUAACCACUUAUGAAUAUACGGGGUGGGCUACACAGAUUAGAGAUAGACGUUGGAGGUAGUAAUGGGAUUAUUUAAAAAAAAGUGAUAACAAAAUGGUCGCUGGGACUAUUGUGUGAGCACAUGAUUGAUGUCCUAUAGCAUGAAACUGACUGGUUGGCAUGUAUAUGAUGCCGUUAAUUCGACAUCUUUAAGGGUACUAAAGAUCAUAAAGACCAAAUAUUUCUAGCAAGUGUUCAAGUAUACGUAAUAGCUGAAUGAGUAUUGUGUAUUCAAAAAGGUGUUAAGUUAAGAGGAACACAAAAUACACCAUAGAUGCCAGUAGAGGCACAUUUGUAUCACAAUAAGAAUAGGCAUGACUGCCAAAACGAAUAGGUAGCUUUUGAUAUAGCUGGAUAGGAAGUCGUAUUACUGGGAAUAUAUUCAAGAAAUCACCAAAAGUUUAUUGUGAAACCACGAGCAACCAAAGUAACAUGUAAAUAGGACAAUUAACUGUGUUGAUACGUGUUGGUCAGAUGUGAUCAUCAGCAAAGAUUUGAUCUAGAGGGAACUCACACUGGGUUAAUUGACAUUGCUAGUAUAUGAAUUCUAGCACACUUUUGACUGAGGCAUAUAUUUCAAGUAUAAGGGGUUCGUAAUGGAAGACGCGUAAGGGCAAUAGUUUGCUAUUGGAUAGUGAGUGACAGAAGCAACUACAACUACUCGAGUUUAUGAAUAUGUAAGAAUUCAUGUUAACCACAAAGUGAUAGAGUAUUUUAGCAUACCAUUAAUAAUUUACCUUAACUAUAUAUUUCUAUUCAUGUAUACCUCCAUUGAUUUUAAAAGGGCUAUUGGAAUGGAGGUGGUUGGAGUUAAUGCGACUUCAUGUUGGGCAUUGUUGGGCGGCAUGCUAGGAAAUUAUUGUGGGAGGGCUAUAUAUGUUAAUUAAGAAGUACCACCCACUCCUGCCAGAAAUGUGUAGGGCUAUGCUGCAAUGCAAGAUGACAGUUCAGAGGGCAUGGACCAGAAGGUUCAUUGAGUACCAUGCAAUUACAAUAUAUCAGUUAGGGGAUAUAUAAUGUGUAAGAAAUCAGUCUCUCCUUUCUUUCUAUGUGUGAAUUACAUGAAUGCACCAGUGUAUAUAUAUGGAAUUGUUAAAGUUUAAAUACAUGUGGCAAUUGUGGGGAUUGGACUAGUUAGUAGGGGCUGGGCAGU